rnacentral:lncRNA from 1 species
GAGGGAUGCGGCGGCGACGGGGCGGCGGAGCGCCGCGGCGGCGGCGGCCGCGUCGCCGGCGUCGUUCUCGAGCCGGUGCGCCUCCCUCGUCAAGGAGCAGCGCGCGCGCUUCUACAUCAUGCGGCGAUGCGUCACCAUGCUCAUCUGCUGGAGAGAUUACCCUUAAUUAGUAGUCGACCAUUUUCUCUUUUUUUUUUUCCUUUCUUUUUUUUUUUUCUGUUCAUUAUUAUUAAUUAACUUCUUUGAUCUUAAUAGAUCUAUAUGUAUCUAUAAAUUUGUAUAUGAGAGAGAGAGAGAGAGAGUAGAACCCAAGUUAAAUGUGGGAGAUUUGAUAGGGGAGAGCGCGGGAGAUAAAAGUAGAUAGUGGUUUAGGUUCUUUUCUUUUUUGUUGUAUAUACUUUUAUUUUUGGAUGGUGCUUAAUUUUCAGGUUAUAAUUGGGGAAACUAAGGAUGAUCUGGUUUAAUUUAGAUAAUUAAUUAAUUAUUUAAUGAUUAAUUAAUUAAUUGUAUAGUGAGGUAAAAGAGCAAGUAAGGGAAAGAUCCUAUUUUUUUACACGGAGAUAUCAGAUUCAGUGAGUUCUAAAUAACUUUAAUUCAAAAAAAAAAAUCGAUCUGCUAAUUGCCAACUAUUUAACGGCGCGAGAACGCACUGCAACGUGAUCGAUGAAGUAGGAAAGAGAACACCUUUUAUUUUUUUUCCUAUUAUGUUUCUGUUAUGGGCUGUUUUCAUG